UACAGAGGUCCCAAGCGUUGUUCGGAUUCAUUGGGCGUAAAGGGCGCGUAGGCGGCACAGCAAGUCGGGAGUGAAAGCCCGGGGCUCAACCCCGGAAUGGCUUUCGAAACUGCUGAGCUAGAGUACAGAAGGGGCAACCGGAAUUCCCAGUGUAGCGGUGAAAUGCGUAGAUAUUGGGAAGAACACCUGAGGCGAAGGCGGGUUGCUGGGCUGAUACUGACGCUGAGGCGCGAAAGCCAGGGGAGCAAACGGG
rnacentral:rRNA from 1 species